rnacentral:rRNA from 1 species
CCUACGGGUGGCAGCAGUGAGGAAUAUUGGUCAAUGGGCUUACGCCUGAACCAGCCAAGUCGCGUGAGGGAAGACUGCCCUAUGGGUUGUAAACCUCUUUUGUCAGGGAGCAAUUGGCGCUACGUGUAGCGUUGUCGAGAGUACCUGAAGAAAAAGCAUCGGCUAACUCCGUGCCAGCAGCCGCGGUAAUACGGAGGAUGCGAGCGUUAUCCGGAUUUAUUGGGUUUAAAGGGUGCGUAGGCGGAAUGCCAAGUCAGCGGUAAAAUCGCGGGGCUCAACCUCGCUCCGCCGUUGAAACUGGCGUUCUUGAGUGGGCGAGAAGUAUGCGGAAUGCGUGGUGUAGCGGUGAAAUGCUUAGAUAUCAGGAGGAACAUCGGUGGCGUAAGCGCUUUACUGGGGCGUAAUUGACGCUGAGGAACGAAAGCCAGGGUAGCAAAUGGGAUUAGAUACCCUAGUAGGC